GUUAAUGCAAAGCAAAUAGAUUCUCCGCAUAAGAAAAGGUGUUCAUGAGUAACACAAAUAGCUUUGAGUUGGCAAAAGAGUGCACAUCGGUGGCACAAGUACUUCUCUAGUAAGAAUAAGUUAAAAGCUUUUGGGAAAAAUGCGGGAAAUUUCGUGUCAAGUUUCGGGACGAAACUUCUUUUAAGAGGGGUAGAUUGUAAUCCCCCGUAAAUUUAUAAAUUUUAUUAAAUAUAUUUUAACGUAUAUUAUUUAUAAUUAAAUAGAAUUUAUGAAGUUUAGUAAUAAAUAUAUAUUUAACGUAAUUUAUUUUUAUACGUUCUAAAUAUUUCAACGAUUUAUGAAAUCAAAAAAAUAAUUUUAGAAUUUUAUGUUGAAAAGAAUUUGAAUUGCGAAAACACGUUCGAUUGAAUUUGGAAAACAAUAUUAACUGGUUUUGGAUUCAAACAAACUCAAUUCUAAUCCUAGCCCAAAUUGACAAAGCCCAAAACAAGAAAACCCAUAUUAUCAACCCAUAAUUCAACUUCACGUAAAAUCAAGAAAGCCAAAAACCCUCUUCUCUCCUCUCCUCCAAUUCACGUGAAAAGCAAGCAAACUCUCUCUCUGCUUCAGCCACCGCCGCCCUCCUUGCUGUUGUCCCUCACGCCGCCGGCCAACCACCUCAGACGCUCCUCCUCCGUCGCGUGCAACCUUCCUCGCCGCCACCUGCACCCCGUCGCUGCCGCCAACCAACCAGCACCGGUCGUUGGCCCCUUCCCUUCUCCUUCGCGAAGCAUCAACACUCCUCCUUUUCUUUCUCCUCUGCGUGCGUUUCCUCCUGCUUGCACCACCAGCCACCUUCGGUCACCCUGCUGCGCCACCACCCAUCGCCGCGCUGCCACUGUGGCAUCGCCGUGCUGCUGCACCAACCGCCGUCAGCUCUUCCUCCCUUCACUUUUUGGCGGAGAAUUCUCUUUAGGCGACUUUUGAAAGUGUUAAAGUGGCCUAUUAGUUGUUUAUGCAAGUCUCUAAGGAUCAAUAAGCGUUGCCCAUCUACAGGUUUGAAGAUGAUGCACCAUUGGGAUCGGGAUUAGAGAGCUUGUUGUUCUAUUUGUUUACUUGAGUGAUUUAAUUUGUUAACUUGGAUUUGAAAUUUGUCGUACUAUUCGUAUUUCCUUAUUUCAGUUAAUUGGUUUGGACCUAAUAUGUAAUAGAUUAUUUAUGAACCUAAAAGUUAGUUUUAUGUUUUCCGCUGCAAAAUUCUGAAUAAGCCGUUACGUUUUUACA